AGUGAACGCUGGCGGUAGGCCUAACACAUGCAAGUCGAACGGCAGCACAGUAAGAGCUUGCUCUUACGGGUGGCGAGUGGCGGACGGGUGAGGAAUACAUCGGAAUCUACUUUUUCGUGGGGGAUAACGUAGGGAAACUUACGCUAAUACCGCAUACGACCUACGGGUGAAAGCAGGGGAUCUUCGGACCUUGCGCGAUUGAAUGAGCCGAUGUCGGAUUAGCUAGUUGGCGGGGUAAAGGCCCACCAAGGCGACGAUCCGUAGCUGGUCUGAGAGGAUGAUCAGCCACACUGGAACUGAGACACGGUCAAGACUCCUACGGGAGGCAGCAGUGGGGAAUAUUGGACAAUGGGCGCAAGCCUGAUACAGCCAUACCGCGUGGGUGAAGAAGGCCUUCGGGUUGUAAAGCCCUUUUGUUGGGAAAGAAAAGCAGCAGGUUAAUACCCCGCUGUUCUGACGGUACCCAAAGAAUAAGCACCGGCUAACUUCGUG
rnacentral:rRNA from 1 species